rnacentral:rRNA from 2 species
GGCUCAUUAAAUCACACCUAAUCUACUGGAUAGUAAAAAGUUACUUGGAUAACUGCGGUAAUUCUGGAGCUAAUACAUGCACAAAGCCUCAACCUUACGGGAGAGGUGCUUUUAUUAGAUCAAAACCAAACGGCUUCGGCUGUACUCUUGGUGACUCUGAAUAACUUUGGGCUGAUCGCAUAGCCUUGCGCUGGCGACAUAUCCUUCGAAGGUGUGCCCUAUCAACUGUCGACUGUGGCAUAGACGCCCACAGUGGUUUUGACGGGUAACGGGGAAUCAGGGUUCGAUUCCGGAGAGGGAGCCUUAAAAACGGCUACCACAUCUAAGGAAGGCAGCAGGCACGCAAAUUACCCAAUGACCGAAGGUCGAGGUAGUGACGAAAAAUAACGAUAGCGGACUCUUCCGAGGCCCGCUAAUUGGAAUGAGUACACUUUAAAACCGUCCCCGAGGAUCUAUUGGAGGGCAAGUCUGGUGCCAGCAGCCGCGGUAAUUCCAGCUCCAAUAGCGUAUAUUAAAGUUGUUGUGGUUAAAAAGCUCGUAGUUGGAUCUCAACGGCCUUGGAGCGGUUUCAUGCUGAUAGACUGCUCUGUAGGCCGUGCUUUUGCUGGAGGUUUAGGGGUGCUCUUAAUCGAGUGUCUCUGGAUGCCAGCAGGUUUACUUUGAAAAAAUUAGAGUGCUCAAAGCAGGCUGUUACGCCUGAAUAUUCGUGCAUGGAAUAAUAGAAUAGGAUGUCGAUCCUAUUUUGUUGGUUUUCGGGACUCGACAUAAUGAUUAAUAGGGACAGUCGGGGGCAUUUGUAUUCAAACGACAGAGGUGAAAUUCUUGGACCGUUUGAAGACAAACUACUGCGAAAGCAUUUGCCAAGAAUGUUUUCAUUAAUCAAGAACGAAAGUUAGAGGUUCGAAGGCGAUUAGAUACCGCCCUAGUUCUAACCAUAAACGAUGCCAGCUAGCGAUCUGCCGGCGUUUAAACUUAAGACUCGGCAGGAAGCUUCCGGGAAACCAAAGCAUUUGGGUUCCAGGGGAAGUAUGGUUGCAAAGCUGAAACUUAAAGGAAUUGACGGAAGGGCACCACCAGGAGUGGAGCCUGUGGCUUAAUUUGACUCAACACGGGAAAUCUCACCAGGCCCGGACACUGGAAGGAUUGACAGAUUGAUAGCUCUUUCUUGAUUCGGUGGGUGGUGGUGCAUGGCCGUUCUUAGUUGGUGGAGUGAUUUGUCUGGUUAAUUCCGAUAACGAACGAGACUCUGUCCUGCUAAAUAGUGUCUACUUCUCUUUUGAGUAGACAAUUCUUCUUAGAGGGACUGGCAACUCUUAGUUGCACGAGAUUGAGCAAUAACAGGUCUGUGAUGCCCUUAGAUGUUCUGGGCCGCACACGCGCUACACUGAAUAGAUCAGCGUGUCACCCUUCCUGAAAAGGACGGGUAAACCGCUGAACCCUAUUCGUGGUAGGGAUCGGGGCUUGCAAUUAUUCCCCGUGAACCAGGAAUUCCCAGUAGGCGCAAGUCAUAAGCUUGCGUCGAUUACGUCCCUGCCCUUUGUACACACCGCCCGUCGCUACUACCGAUUGAACGUUUU